rnacentral:lncRNA from 12 species
AUGACCUGGGUCAAACAAGGGUCUGCUUCAAUUCUAACAGGGGCCUUCUUGAGCUUCAUAUUUACCUGGGAUAAGAGAUUGCUGGAAGAUGGUUGCAGAAAAUCAGAUGGGCUCAAGAAUCAUCAGAGAUUCAAGCACAAGGUAGAAAGUACCUUGUUCAGUUUAUACCUUCUCCAGAAUGACUUUGGAUAUAGGGACAUAAGUCUGCUUCCAAGUGACAAUCCAUGUAAUUUUCAUUGACCAGCUACUAUGAGCUAGACAUUGGGCAUGCAAAAUAAGAGAAAAUGCCCAAUUAAAGGAACUCGCAGUGUGUUAGGGGAAGGGAAGUAAAGUGUCUUCAACAUAUUAUGUAAAGCAUGAAAAAGAUUGGUUUACACUCAGAAAACAAAGGAAGAUACUACAUGUUCCUCACACCAUUUCCAAGAAAUGGCAUUUCAAAGGCAAAUGUGUUGUUCUCACAAAGAACUUGAGACUGAGCAGAUACAAAGAAGAAUCCAG